rnacentral:lncRNA from 1 species
AGGCAUUAUUAAUCAAUGAGGCUUGCUAAAUUAUGCUGAAAUCCAUGGUGUUCAUGUUCCUGCUCGUGGCUUUGAUGGACUCCAAUGCUUGGUAUGUUGUUAUGGCAAUUGAAUAACAUGCUUGGAUGUUACCACGUGAUUAAUAUUUGCUUAAUUUGCUGCAAAUUAUUACUGAUGAUGACCAUCUGACAUUGCAGGAUCCAGGAUUGAGAGGCAAAGUUUUUUCAUGAAGCAAUUGGUUUAUGAUGCAUAGGUACGGGUACGGUACCCGGUGCGGGUACCGGUAAUGGUACGGGAUACGCCAUUUUAAAAAAAAUUAAGGUACGGGUACGUUAAUAAAAAAUAAGAGUUUUCUAUAAAAUGUAUGGGGAGAAAACUAAAUUGUUAGGUUCACAAUAAUACAUCACUAUAAAAGUUUAAAAAAUAAAAAAUAAUAUUAAGAUAUAGUAACGAAGAAAUGAAAAUACAUAAAUAUACUACAUUGAUAUUUGAAAAAACAAAAAAUUUCACUUGAAAUCGAAUAAUCAGAAAAGAUGAAGUACCACGAGUACGGUACGUGUACCUGGUACGGAUGCGCACCCGAUACCAGUACUUCACCAUUUUAGAAGUACCCAUGCUUCAGAGCAAUUGGUGUUAACUGAUGUACAAUGUGUAUGCUCAUAUGUUAUUGCCAUGAAUUUGAUGUGCUUGUCAUGGAUGUAUUGCUGGUUUGUGUGCUACAUGAUGCAAGGCUGCAAUUGUCAUGCUUGGAUGAACACUUUGGUCAUGGUUUGCAUAGACUCAUGGGGUGUUCUGACUUGUUCUUGGUUUUGUAGGUAUAACUUAUGAACAUUGCCUUAAUUCUGACCUUGGUAUAACCUCAUGUGACAAGGUUUAACAUGUCGCACCAUGGCUUUGUUUUGCUAGGUUUACUUGCACAAGCUAAGUUCAUGACAUGGCAUUGAAUAUCAUGUGCAAAUGGCCAAAUCAAAAUCAAGAUGGAACUGGAAAAUGGGAUUAGGAUUAGCAUUGGCAUUUAGUGGUUUAGGAUGGAAAAUCACUUUGAGUUGACUUUGGUCAAAGUUGAACAAAAAGUCAACUGUUGACCAAAGUUAAUAUUUGUUAAACAUGUAUUUUUUUUGGUAUUUUUUGUAUGUAAAGAACAAUUUAUGGUCAUGUAAUGAAUGGGAUUGAUGCAUUUAAAUGAAAAUGAAUGGAUUUGGUACAUGAAUAUGUUAUUUAAAAUGGUUUGAAUUUAGACUUAAA